rnacentral:sRNA from 2 species
UCCUGCAACGCGCCCAGCUCCAUCCAGCAGGCGAGGGAUUCCGACCACGGAUGGAGGCGGGGGACCCACCAGUUCCGCCGAGAUCGGACCGGGGCCUGUUCACCGCUCCUUGGGGUCAAGCCGACGUACUCACACCGAAGUACGACACUGGCCGGGUGACGUCUCUGGUUUGAAUCCAACCCGGACCCGACAGCCGACUUUGCAGGCGUGCACCGAGAGGAAAG